rnacentral:sRNA from 1 species
UGAUCCUAAUUUCAGCAAUUCCUUGGAUU